UGCCUGAAACUAAAUAGUUUCUUUGCGAGAAUCUUACGUUUUGUUUUAAAACCUUUCUGAAUCUUAACUGAUGUAAAAGAAAAGCUGAAUUAUGUGGCAUGAUUUUCACAUUAACCGCAACAAAAUCCUACUCCAAUAGGUCCUACUGACAAUUCUCGCAAAACUAAUGCAUAUGCCCAAUAUAAUAACAACCUCGCCUAACAAUUGACUCUCCUUUACCUUUCCAGUUCGCAUGGCAUGUUGUUGCGAAAAUAAGUUGUGCUUUUGACGACUUUCCACUGACUUUGCCGCAAUUCAAUUCCGUUGCAUACACUUUUUCCAGGUACAGUACUGCCCAAGACAUCAGAAUUAGAAUCCUUAAAAAUCGAAUAAAAGAAAACCAAAGCACG